GUGGGGAAUCUUGCGCAAUGGGCGAAAGCCUGACGCAGCCAUGCCGCGUGAAUGAUGAAGGUCUUAGGAUUGUAAAAUUCUUUCACCGGGGACGAUAAUGACGGUACCCGGAGAAGAAGCUCCGGCUAACUUCGUGCCAGCAGCCGCGGUAAUACGAAGGGGGCUAGCGUUGCUCGGAAUUACUGGGCGUAAAGGGCGCGUAGGCGGACAGCUUAGUCAGAGGUGAAAGCCAAGGGCUCAACCUUGGAAUUGCCUUUGAUACUGGCUGUCUUGAGUUUGGGAGAGGUGAGUGGAACUCCGAGUGUAGAGGUGAAAUUCGUAGAUAUUCGGAAGAACACCAGUGGCGAAGGCGACUCACUGGCCCAAUACUGACGCUGAGGCGCGAAAGCGUGGGGAGCAAACAGGAUUAGAUACCCGAGUAGUCC
rnacentral:rRNA from 1 species